UGUCUGUACCAGGCCCGGGCUAUUUUUAGUCGCCUGAUGAAAUCCCUCGAACUGUCAACAAAGGGCUUGCGCAGCCUCCAGUUCGCCGGGUCCGCGUCCCUCCUGGUGAAGGAGCAGGAUCCUCUCCAGAGCAAAGGGUGUCUGGCGCCCGCCCUGCGCGCCUGCGAUGCCCACAGCAGGAAGCGGCUCCUGGAGCGCCCGUCCAGGCAGCCGGGGCGCCGGGGGGCCACGUUUGUUUGUCCUUCUAUGUGAAGCAAUCGCCCAGCUGCUCUUGGAGGAGAACGGCCUGUGUGUUCUAACCAGCCCGCGGCACUGGUGACCUCAAGUGCCCGGGAGGACACUCAACUAACUGAGCAACACUGGCCAGGGCAGGACUCAGCGUUUGAAACACAGUUCCCAGAGAUUCUGGAAGCUGCCCCGUGAUUUUGCGUCAUCAUCGGUCUUUCUGUGUCUCACUCCCUCGGAUUAAUUCUGCUUUUCUUGGUGAAGGGAUCCCCAAGGUCUCCUAGCAUGUGACAUGUCACUAGGGAGUGACGAGGGCACAGCAGGACACGAUGCCCCCAGCGAGCCCGGGUGUGAGAAAUGCAGAGGUCACGGGAGCACAAAGCAGCAGUGCUGGUGGCUCAGAUAGCGACUCUUUGAGGACUUCCUUCACAGAGCACGUCAGCAACAGCCAUGUCAUAGGACCGAGGCGUGACAACACGCAGGUGACCUUCAUGUAAGAGCCGAAGGGAGACGUCCCCUGGAGUCUGUUGGCAGCGCAGCGGAGGCUGAGGUCUGAGAGGACCUUUGACCCUCUCUUCUCUGCCUCUUCCUGUACCCGGGCCUCCUGGGUGGCCUCUUGGCUGUUGAGGAACCAACAUGUGGGGCAUGAGUGAUGAUCCACUCAUCGCCUUUCUGUCCCAUUCAUUCAUACGUGGUUUAAGGACUGUCCUCAGGUCGGCGGGUGAUACAGGGACACUUCCUCUCUCUCCAAGAUCAGGGCUCCAGUGACUAGCUCUCCACCGCCCCCUGCUGUCCCAGAUGCAGAAACCGGAAAGUGCCCUAAAUAGAAAGCUGUGUGCGAGAAUGUUGGUGGCCAUGAUAGACCCAAAUUGGAAAGAGCCUAGGUAGCCCUCAACGGGAGAAUGGAGAAAUGAGCCGUAGAAAGUUUUUAAAAAAUAUAUACUUAUUUCAGAGAGGAAGGGAGAGGGAGAUAGAAACAUCAAUGAUGAGAGAGAAUCACUGAUCAACUGCCUCCUGCACACCCCACACUGGGGAUGGAGCCCGCAACCCCGGCAUGUGCCCUGACUGGGAAUCGAACCGUGACCUCCUGGUUCAUAGAUGGACGCUCAACCACUGAGCCAAACCGGCCAGGCAGCCGUGGAAAGUUUAUAUAACGCAAUAAUAUCCAAUAAUAAAUCAAAGCAAACUACUGA